AGAGAAACCAAACAGGAAGAGAGUCGGAGAGAGAUGGUUUUAAACAGCAGUCUGGUUGUGACCGUUGCCAAUGUAUCAGCUAAUCUAUGCCAAUACAUAGCAUGCAAUCCAGAGCGGCUAAGCAGCGACCAAGUCUUGAAUUUGCUCUUCUGCUUUCCUCUCCACCAUUUGGGUCGUCUCUGGAACUAUCUCUGGAACUAUCUCUGCUACAAUCCCCCCACCCUGCCAAUCUGUCCGAUUUCGAUUUCAACGACGACGACGAUGAUUCCCACUCCGAUUGAGUUCUUGCACCA
rnacentral:misc_RNA from 1 species